rnacentral:lncRNA from 1 species
UAGAAUUUCAACAACGAGCAAGUGGUCUAGUGGUUAAGGCUACUGACUGUGUAAUGUUGAAGCUGUGGUUCGAAUCCUGCAAAGGUCAUUUUGAGAAUGGAAAAGGGUUGAUUUAUUAAGUAUACAACUUAGAGAAAAAGAUUGAGGUGAAUAAGUUGCGGUAGGCUUCCAACAACGAGCAAGUGGUCUAAUGGUAGCGAUAUCGGACUGUAAAAGCCAAUGUCGUGUCUCAGGAUCGGUUCGAGGACGGUUGAAAUAAUCAAGAAAAAAAGAUGGCGGCCGAGAGAAAGAAGAAUAAUACAGAAGAAAAAGGCCGCCGGGCAAAUGUUUGAAGAAGAUACUACCAUUGAAAUUAAUCUUUAGUGGCUGCCAUGGUGUGGCGCAUGCGCGGUAGACUUAGAAUAUGACAGCGUGCGGG